rnacentral:rRNA from 1 species
GACGUAGGGUGCGAGCGUUGUCCGGAUUUAUUGGGCGUAAAGAGCUCGUAGGCGGUGUGUCGCGUCGGCCGUGAAAACCUGCAGCUUAACUGUGGGCUUGCGGUCGAUACGGGCAUCACUGGAGUUCGGCAGGGGAGACUGGAAUUCCUGGUGUAGCGGUGAAAUGCGCAGAUAUCUGGAGGAACACCGGUGGCGAAGGCGGCAUCCUGGACCAACACUGACGCUGAGUGAGCGAAAGCCAGGGGAGCAAACGGG